rnacentral:rRNA from 1 species
GACGAACGCUGGCGGCGUGCUUAACACAUGCAAGUCGAACGGAAAGGCCCUGCUUUUGUGGGGUGCUCGAGUGGCGAACGGGUGAGUAACACGUGAGUAACCUGCCCUUGACUUUGGGAUAACUUCAGGAAACUGGGGCUAAUACCGGAUAGGAGCUCCUGCUGCCUGGUGGGGGUUGGAAAGUUUCGGCGGUUGGGGAUGGACUCGCGGCUUAUCAGCUUGUUGGGGGGGUAGUGGCUUACCAAGGCUUUGACGGGUAGCCGGCCUGAGAGGGUGACCGGCCACAUUGGGACUGAGAUACGGCCCAGACUCCUACGGGAGGCAGCAGUGGGGAAUAUUGCACAAUGGGCGGAAGCCUGAUGCAGCAACGCCGCGUGCGGGAUGACGGCCUUCGGGUUGUAAACCGCUUUCGCCUGUGACGAAGCGGGAGUGACGGUAAUGGGUAAAGAAGCACCGGCUAACUACGUG